rnacentral:tRNA from 1 species
CCCGUGUAUAAUAACACGGCUUUUUCGAACUUUUAGAGGAUGGUAGAUAUCCGUUGGUCUUAGGAAUCAAAAAU